AGUAAGAAUACUAGUUGUUAUGAGGCAUUUUGGGGGGAAAGAAAAAGCAAAGCUAUGAAGCUUAUGCUCAAAGUGGACGAUAUCAUACUUCUGGAGGAUCGUAGUUCUUAAUAGAGGAUUGGGCUUAUCUUGAGUUUUGAUCCACAUAUAUUUGACUGCAAUUAAGCACACUCUUCAAUCUCUAUGGGUGCUUGAUGUUGCUGGAUCUUUGUUAACUUACACAAAUCUUGCACAACCAGCUGGGGACAGCAUAGUGCAGUAUGUUGUUGAUAAUCCAUCGGCAGUCUGGUUUAUUGGUCCUCUCUUUGCAGCACGGACUGGACUAGUCUUCAAAGAAGUCUUGAUGAAGCAGGCAAAUAAUAAGAAGAAAGAAGAUACUGAUGAAGCAGGCAAAUAAUACGAAGAGAAGGCCUUGAUUCGAAAGCUUGAGCAGCAAGAGCUUAGUAAGAAUGGUGAUUAGAACAUUUGGAUGAGAACCAUCAGGAAGAACAGUGUCAAAGGAGUCUUACUGUACAGGACGAAUAAAUGCCACUCUGAUAAGCAAAUGGCUCAAUUGAGACAUGCAAUCGUAAUUAGGAGAAAACAAGACUAUACUCGAAACUCUACAAGCAAUCCUAUUAGUAAAUUUCUCCCCUUUGUCAUCUCAUCUAAACCAUUCAAAUCUAGUAAUCUGCCUAAUCGAAUUGGGAGAAGGAUCACAGUCUCUCUCCCUCCAUAGAUGUUAAGUUCGUGAUGAGAUGUUUUGGUAUUAGAAUGGUCAAGUCGGAACACAAAUGAGGAGAGAAACCCUUUGUUUGAACAAACAUC